AUGGGAACGCAGCGGCCGCACUUGGCGGGUUGCCCGCGGUGGAGCGCGGAGCUCGGCGGGGCGCCGGGACGAGGUGAGGAGGGGUCCAGCCGCCCAGGGGGAGUCGGGGGGCCGCGGGCGUCCCCGGGCGGGCGCUGGGGGGCGCUGCGCGCCGGGCGGCUCGCCCCGCGGCAAGUUUGCCUCCAGCUGUUGAAUGCGCCCGCGACGGCGACGGCGACGGCGACGGCGGCGGCGGGACCCGGAGCCCGCGGGGUGAGCGGGGCGGGGGGCCGGGCGGGGCCGGGGCUCGGCGCUCCCCGCGGCCGCCGCCGCCGCCUCCCCGGGCGCUGCAGCUGCGGCGUUGGAGCCGGGCGGGCCCCCGCCCCGCGGCCGCGUGUCUGCGUGCGCGCGUGUCUGUGGAAGGAUCGGGCCGGGGGAGGGGGCGGGCGGGGUCUCGCUGCGGACGCGCCUGCGGACGGACGGACGGACAGACCGCGGGCCGCGGCCCCUGACGCACGCUGCGCUCCCACCCCGGCGGCGGCGGCCCGGGCCGGGCGGGCGGGGGCGGGGGGCGUCUGCGCGCACACGCGGGCUCGCAGACACACACACACGCACACGCGGGCCACGCCGCGCACACCCGCACCCGCGCCCGCGCUCACACUCACUCACACUCACACUCGCGCGCAGGCCCCGCAGCCGCCGCCGCCUCCGGAAGCGGCGCUCGGCCCGGAUCCCGGCCGGGCUGGAGAAGGAGAAGACCUGGGUGAGAAGCUGCUGCGCCUGAGCCAGACUGGGACCGAGACCCCGUUGCUCCUGCUGCCGCUGCCAGCGCAGGGCCUCCCUGAGACCAGGCCAGGGAUAGACCUCGUGGGCCGGAGGGGCCCCCUUAGCCUGCAGACAUCGAGCAGAGACGACUGGCCGCCCUGA
rnacentral:lncRNA from 1 species